rnacentral:rRNA from 1 species
UUACGGGAGGCAGCAGUAAGGAAUUUUGCGCAAUGGGGGAAACCCUGACGCAGCAACGCCGCGUGAGUGAUGAAGGCUCUUGGGUCGUAAAGCUCUGACAGAGGGAAAGAAAUGUAUUGUGGCUAAUAUCCACGAUACUUGACGGUACCCUCAAAGGAAGCACCGGCUAACUCCGUGCCAGCAGCCGCGGUAAUACGGGGGGUGCAAGCGUUGUUCGGAUUUAUUGGGCGUAAAGCGCGUGUAGGCGGUUUUUUAAGUCUGAUGUGAAAGCCCUGGGCUCAACCCGGGAAGUGCAUUGGAUACUGGAAGACUUGAAUACGGGAGAGGGCAGUGGAAUUCCUAGUGUAGGAGUGAAAUCCGUAGAUAUUAGGAGGAACACCGGUGGCGAAGGCGGCUGCCUGGACCGAUAUUGACGCUGAGACGCGAAAGCGUGGGUAGCAAACAGGACUAGAUACCCCCGUAU